rnacentral:rRNA from 1 species
CAGGAUGAACGCUAGCGGCAGGCUAACACAUGCAAGGUCGAGGGGCAGCGGGAUGUAGCAAUACAUGCCGGCGACCGGCGGAUGGGUGCGUAACGCGUAUGCAACCUACCUUAUACAGGGGAAUAACCUUUCGAAAGGGAGACUAACACCCCAUAGUAUUGAUUUAAGGCAUCUUAGAUUAAUUAAAUAUUUAUAGGUAUAAGAUGGGCAUGCGUAUGAUUAGCUAGUUGGUAAGGUAACGGCUUACCAAGGCGACGAUCAUUAGGGGUUCUGAGAGGAAGGUCCCCCACACUGGUACUGAGACACGGACCAGACUCCUACGGGAGGCAGCAGUGAGGAAUAUUGGUCAAUGGGCGCAAGCCUGAACCAGCCAUGCCGCGUGCAAGGAAGACGGCCUUAUGGGUUGUAAACUGCUUUUACAUAAGACUAACCGUAUAUUUGCGAAUAUACCUGAAUGUAUUAUGAGAAUAAGGAUCGGCUAACUCCGUGCCAGCCGCCGC